AAUCAAGCAGAAGAGACCAGCCUCCCCUGUACCCAGCUGUGUGUCCAUGAAGAGUGACCGGUCUAUAGAACAACCUAUAUCAUUUAGAGAGGGAGACUUUUCUACUGAACAAAGCCCAAUCAAGCAGGAGAGACCAGCCUCCCCUGUACCCAGCUGUGUGUCCACGAAGAGUGACCGGUCUAUAGAACAACCUAUAUCCUUUAGAGAGGGAGACUUUUCUACUGAACAAAGAAACCAACAGGAGAGAUCAGAGUCAGAGAUUCUCAGUGGUCAGUCUUCC